rnacentral:rRNA from 1 species
CCCUUAGAUGUCCUGGGCCGCACGCGCGUUACACUGAUGCAUUCAACGAGCUUAUAACCUUGGCCGAGAGGCCUGGGCAAUCUUGUUAACGUGCAUCGUGAUAGGGAUAGAUUAUUGAAAUUAUUAAUCUUGAACGAGGAAUUCCUAGUAAACGCAGAUCAUCAAUCUGCAUUGAUUACGUCCCUGCCCUUAGUACACACCGCCCGUCGCACCUACCGAUUGGAUGGUCCGGUGAAGCCUCGGGAUUGUGGUUCUUGCCGCUUUAUUGUGGCGUGACCGCGAGAACUUGUCUAAACCUUAUCAUCUAGAGGAAGGUGAAGUCGUAACA